UACGUAGGGUCCGAGCGUUGUCCGGAAUUAUUGGGCGUAAAGGGCUCGUAGGCGGUUUGUCGCGUCGGGAGUGAAAACUCAGGGCUCAACCCUGAGCGUGCUUCCGAUACGGGCAGACUAGAGGUAUGCAGGGGAGAACGGAAUUCCUGGUGUAGCGGUGGAAUGCGCAGAUAUCAGGAGGAACACCGGUGGCGAAGGCGGUUCUCUGGGCAUUACCUGACGCUGAGGAGCGAAAGUGUGGGGAGCAAACAGG
rnacentral:rRNA from 1 species